rnacentral:tRNA from 1 species
GCGCCCGUGAUUUAGUGGUAGAAUGCGAGCUUCCCAAGCUUGAUGUGAGGGUUCGAUUCCCUCCGGGCGCA